AAUCAACGCUGGCGGCGUGCCUCAGACAUGCAAGUCGAACGAUUAAACUUUCCUUCGGGAAAGAUAUAAAGUGGCGCACGGGUGAGUAACACGUAGGUAAUGUACCUUUGGGUGGGGAAUAACCAUCGGAAACGAUGGCUAAUACCGCAUAAUGCAGCGGCAUCGCAAGAUGACAGUUGUUAAAGAUUUAUCGCCUAAAGAGCAGCCUGCGGCAGAUUAGGAGUUGGUAAGGUAAUGGCUUACCAAGCCUGCGAUCUGUAACCGACCUGAGAGGGUGGUCGGUCACACUGACACUGAAUAACGGGUCAGACUCCUACGGGAGGCAGCAGUCGGGAAUUUUGGGCAAUGGGCGAAAGCCUGACCCAGCAACGCCGCGUGAAGGACGAAGU
rnacentral:rRNA from 1 species